rnacentral:rRNA from 1 species
GACGAACGCUGGCGGCGUGCUUAACACAUGCAAGUCGAGCGGUAAGGCCCUUUCGGGGGUACACGAGCGGCGAACGGGUGAGUAACACGUGGGUGACCUGCCCUUAGCUCUGGGAUAAGCCUGGGAAACUGGGUCUAAUACCGGAUAUGACUCCAUGACGCAUGUUGUGGGGUGGAAAGCCUUGUGCGGCUAGGGAUGGGCCCGCGGCCUAUCAGCUUGUUGGUGGGGUGAUGGCCUACCAAGGCGACGACGGGUAGCCGGCCUGAGAGGGCGACCGGCCACACUGGGACUGAGACACGGCCCAGACUCCUACGGGAGGCAGCAGUUAGGAAUCUUCCGCAAUGGGCGAAAGCCUGACGGAGCGACACCGCGUGAAGGAUGAAGGUCUUUACGAUCGUAAACUUCUGUUCUGAGGGACGAAAUUUUUGACGGUACUCAGGAGAAAGCACCGGCUAAUUCUGU